rnacentral:tRNA from 1 species
CACGCUAGCCUUGUAAACUAGAAAUGGAGCUCACAACCCCCAGGGCA